GCAUAUCAAUAAGCGGAGGAAAAGAAACCAACAGGGAUUGCCCCAGUAACGGCGAGUGAAGCGGCAAGAGCUCAAAUUUGAAAGCUGGCCCCCUCGGGGCCCGCAUUGUAAUUUGCAGAGGAUGCUUCGGGAGUGGCCCCCAUCUAAGUGCUCUGGAACGGGCCGUCAUAGAGGGUGAGAAUCCCGUAUGGGAUGGGGUGUCCGCGACCAUGUGAAGCUCCUUCAACGAGUCGAGUUGUUUGGGAAUGCAGCUCUAAAUGGGUGGUAAAUUUCAUCUAAAGCUAAAUAUUGGCCGGAGACCGAUAGCGCACAAGUAGAGUGAUCGAAAGAUGAAAAGCACUUUGAAAAGAGAGUUAAAAAGCACGUGAAAUUGUUGAAAGGGAAGCGCUUGCGACCAGACUCGCCUGCGGGGUUCAGCCGGUAUUCGUACCGGUGUACUUCCCCGUGGGCGGGCCAGCGUCGGUUUGGGCGGCCGGUCAAAGGCCCUCGGAAUGUAACGCCUCUCGGGGCGUCUUAUAGCCGAGGGUGCCAUGCGGCCAGCCCGGACCGAGGAACGCGCUUCGGCACGGACGCUGGCAUAAUGGUCGUAAGCGACCCGUCUUGAAACACGGACCAAGGAGUCUAACAUCUACGCGAGUGUUCGGGUGUCAAACCCGUGCGCGCAGUGAAAGCGAACGGAGGUGGGAACCCUCACGGGUGCACCAUCGACCGAUCCUGAUGUCUUCGGAUGGAUUUGAGUAAGAGCGUAGCUGUUGGGACCCGAAAGAUGGUGAACUAUGCCUGAAUAGGGCGAAGCCAGAGGAAACUCUGGUGGAGGCUCGCAGCGGUUCUGACGUGCAAAUCGAUCGUCAAAUUUGGGUAUAGGGGCGAAAGACUAAUCGAACCAUCUAGUAGCUGGUUCCUGCCGA
rnacentral:rRNA from 1 species